GAUGAACGCUGGCGGCGUGCCUAAUACAUGCAAGUCGAGCGAACAGAUAAGGAGCUUGCUCCUUUGACGUUAGCGGCGGACGGGUGAGUAACACGUGGGUAACCUACCUAUAAGACUGGGAUAACUUCGGGAAACCGGAGCUAAUACCGGAUAACAUUUUGAACCGCAUGGUUCUAAAGUGAAAGAUGGUUUUGCUAUCACUUAUAGAUGGACCCGCGCCGUAUUAGCUAGUUGGUAAGGUAACGGCUUACCAAGGCAACGAUACGUAGCCGACCUGAGAGGGUGAUCGGCCACACUGGAACUGAGACACGGUCCAGACUCCUACGGGAGGCAGCAGUAGGGAAUCUUCCGCAAUGGGCGAAAGCCUGACGGAGCAACGCCGCGUGAGUGAUGAAGGGUUUCGGCUCGUAAAACUCUGUUAUUAGGGAAGAACAAAUGUGUAAGUAACUGUGCACGUCUUGACGGUACCUAAUCAGAAAGCCACGGCUAACUACGUG
rnacentral:rRNA from 1 species